ACACAAAAAACCCUAAUCCUCCAAAUUCCUUUGAGUCUUUCACGCGGCCGGCGGCUCUCCUCUCCUCUCACUCUCACUCUCACUCUCACUCCUCUUCGAGUUACAGCCGCUGCGCCUGUAACCCCAAUCGCCGCACCAUUCUUGUAUCCUCACCACUCGCUGCCCUCAUCACAACUCCGCCGCCAUCACUCAACCUCUGCACGCUGCACCGCCUCAAGCAACCAUGACCGCUGCCUGCUUCUUUACAGACAACUUGUUCCACCGGCGGCCAUUCCUCUCGUCCACAAAGGAUCUUCACCGUGCUCAACUUCCGUGAAGAAUCACCGCUUCUCCCGCCAUCAGGUGUUGCACCGUCCACCACCGGGCUAGUGCGCUCACCUUCGAUCCGACAGCCGCUCGUCCCCCACAGUUGGGUCAACAUGGAGAAGGAUACUGGCAGCAGAAAGCCCCCCCCGGGCGCCCGGACUCUUAGCAUGGCCUGUAUACACUUAAUGGAAAAGUUUCAAAAACCAGAUUUUCUGCUCUGUAUCAGAGCCAAAGUGCAUUAUGUUUUGUCGACUCAAUGACCAGCCAUGGAUUGUGCAAAACUACAGAAAACAUAUUCCAAACAUUUUAGGAAAUGAAUUAUGCCGGAACAUGAGGUUUGAUGCUUUUGUUGCUUUUGAUUCUAAAUUAUAUGCAUCGGCUUCAGCUAGACAUAAGAUGGUAUUAUUGAGGUUGAUGAUUCACAUCACCUUAAGAUGACAUCCCUUAGAAUAAGAUGUCCAAAUUGGCCAAGAAAUUUGAGGUGUGGAUGGGACAUGCCUGAAUGUGCUAACAGGGAGUUUGGCUAAAUUUUGAGCCUCACCUUGGGUAGUGUGCACAUGUCCCAUCCUGUGUAGGGUUACUUAUUCCCUUGUUGCUUACCAUUGUUCCUCAAAUGUCCAUUGUGGCAGUCUUACGACUCUUCGUGUGUUGCAUAGAGUUUUUCGCAAAUUGGGCAUAUCCAAUCAUUUUUGUUCCGCAUGUACUUGCUCUCAUAUUUGGAUUUGGUUAACCCUCUUACCCCCUUGGCCGUCUUUUUUAUUUUUCCUCCACUUGUCAUUCUGCACAAGUAUGUAAUAAUUAGAUAGAGUGCAAAAUGCAGGGAAAAAAAAGACGGCUAAGGGGGGCAAGAGGGUAGCCAAAUCUAAAUAUGUGAGUAAGUACAGGCAGAACAAAAAUGAUUGGGUGUGCCCAAUUUGCAAAAAAACCCUACGCAACACACUAAGAGUCUUAUCACCAUGGACAUUUGAGGAACGAUGGUAAGUAGCAAGAGCAUAAGUAGCCAAAUACAUAGGAUGGAAUAUGCGCACACUACCCAAGGUGAGGCUCCAAAUUUAGUCAAACUCUCUAUUAGCACACUGGGGCACGUCCCAUCCACAUUUCAAAUUUCCUGGUCAAUUUGGACACCUGAUUUCGAGGAUGUUCUCUUAAGGUGGUGUGAAUCAUCAACUUUAUUAACUACCAUCAUACGUCUUGCAGAAGUCAAUGCAUAUAAUUUAGAAUCAAAAGCAACAAGCAUUAGUGGCAUUACCAGACCCUUUGGAAUUCCAUAUAUAUUUUUAUGUAUUUUGUAUUUGCUCUUUAUUAUCUUGUGCCACAGGGAAUUUGAUUCUAAGGGGAAUUUCCAAGACCAUUCCCUAUUAAGGAUAUGUUCUUGGAUUCUAACUCACCAAAUCAAAUUUAUCAAGUAUACAAACUCACUGUGGAUUAGUAUUUUGUUGGUCCAAUGUCUGCAAGCCUUAUUUAGAAAGGCCUAAAUAUUUAUUCUAUUUCAGUGUGAUGC